rnacentral:rRNA from 1 species
UGUUUCGGCUAGGGGGUCAUCCCGACUUACCAACCCGAUGCAAACUACGAAUACCGAAGAAUGUUAUCACGGGAGACACACGGCGGGUGCUAACGUCCGUCGUGAAGAGGGAAACAACCCAGACCGCCAGCUAAGGUCCCAAAGUCAUGGUUAAGUGGGAAACGAUGUGGGAAGGCACAGACAGCCAGGAUGUUGGCUUAGAAGCAGCCAUCAUUUAAAGAAAGCGUAAUAGCUCACUGGUCGAGUCGGCCUGCGCGGAAGAUGUAACGGGGCUAAACCAUGCACCGAAGCUGCGGCAGCGACACUAUGUGUUGUUGGGU